UAGCUAGAAACGAUAUAUCGUAGUAGGUUUCGGCCCUGCCUUAGGUGGUAGUAACACCCUAGUUAU
rnacentral:tRNA from 1 species